CCGAUCCGCGGGUACCGGCCGCGGGGUGGCCCCGACCGUGGAGUCCCUCCGGGACGGGCCCGUCCUCCCUCCGUGCGCGGCUCUCGCCGGGCGCAGCGGAGCGAGGCCCGGCCCCGGCUGCCCCGACGGACCCCGCAGCCGUCCUGCGCUCUCCGCCGGGCGCGCCGCACCGGUUCCCUGCGCAGCACGAGCUGUGCCCUGUCGGGAUUAGUCAUCCCGUUCCUAGUAACCGUGAGGCUUGGGAUCACGCAAACGAAAAGGAAAGAGAGGAACAGAGAUGACAAAGAGGAAAAAGCACCCUUGCCUUGGUCCGGAGCGGCUGUUUCUGCGCAGGUUCCGCGCUGGCGCUGGGACGCGGCAAAGAGCGGAGAUGCGGAGCGGCAGAGCCCACCCAGCGCUCGCCAUGGGAGGCUGCGGGCCAGGCCGGCGGGAGCCCCGUUCCCGGCUCUGCCCAAAGCAGGGACACAGAGUUAAUUGUGUCAGUGCUAUUGCACAACACUGUUGCCUUGACACUGUGUCAUGUAAAGAUUUUAAACUGCCUCUUUAUUAGUCAUACUCUAUUCAUUUUAAUUGUGCCUGAUAAGCAGGGCCAUUUCACCUUUGUGUUUUCUGCACAGCUUAUCGUGCGUAUUUAUGUCGCCCAAGAGACUUUCCAUCUCUUCCUGUAGCGUUGGUAGAUGCAGAGGAAUGAGGAGGCAUUGCCAUCACAGCCUGCUGGGGUCCUCACCCGUUUGCUUGCUACCUUUGCAGAUCCCUGCUCUCCCAGGGUGGGCAUCUCCACAGGUCCUGGAGCCUGACACCAAAAAUGCUCUGACAGAGGCUUAGAUUAAUGCAUGGGAACCAGUAAGAAGGGAUAGGCUGAUUGAAACAUGCACCUAAUUUUUUUUUUUCAGUAUCAAGUGCUGUAGGUGUGUACUUAACACCACGGGACUCACUUUGAUCUUCUCCCAGGACAGAAUUUUCUAUGGAUUAAAUUCUUGCCUCUGAAUUGGUUAUUUAACAAAAUCAAAGCUGGGAGAUGAAUAACUAAUUACUGGAUUUAAUGCAAAGAAUACAGUGAAAAUGUAUGGAAUAUUUUAGUCUCACUUACUUGCAACAUAAAAAUAUAAUGCCUGAGACCCGUGUGAACUCUGUCCCUGAAAUUCCUUAUCUAGCCUUAUCUUUGUCAAGUCUGAAGUUUCACUGAAAGUUCCUGGAGAUAGUGCAUUUUCCCUUCUGUGGCAUUUUGACCUUCUCCUCACCUCAAACAUCCCCUGUGUUUGCAGUGGGAGGAGGAAGGGCCCUUUGGCCAGGGACAACACUGCCCACCUGUAGGAGCAGUGCAGGUGACACAGCUGCUUCCCCAGUACCUGGAGCACUGCUGGCACUGCAGGGACUGUUUGCUUAGAGCACACGUCUGCUUCAGGAAGGUUAUCAGAGUCCUUCUCCACCUGGAGAUGGAUCUAUUCACUGGGUUUAUUUAGUUUCACCUUAAUUUUCCCUGUUUAUAAAGUCUAAAAGCUAGAAUUCAAGUUUGAUCCAGAAUCAUCUGAGGAGAUGGGUAAAAUCCCAUUCUCAAUUAAGUUCAGAAGAAGGAACAGAAAUGCCAUUAAAGGCAGAACAAAAAACACAUUUACUCUAGUGUGAACAGGAUUUCCCCCUAGCAUAAGAUCUUGCAUUCCUGUGGGCUGAAAUGAGCUACUCACUGUCCUACACAGCAUCUUUGAGGGCCACUUGGAAUAUUUAUGCAACUGCUUAAAAGGAUUAUGAACAUACAUGAAUGAGUUAAUCACCAUUUACGACAAAAUUCCACCUAAGCUUUUGAAAACCAACAGGAAUAUUUUCAUUUCCAUCAUCCAGGUCCUUAUUUUGUAGAAAAUGGUUUAAGAUGGUUCUUAUAGAGGCACAGUAGUACCCAAAUUUUGUGUGUAUUUAAGGCCCUGUGUUGCCUUGUGCUGGAGUAAUACCUUGGCCAGAUAAAUGAAUGUAUUUAUUUGAAAAGCUGAGAAGUGCCCAAGUCAUAUUUUUGGCCCAGAAAAAGAUUAAAGUAUAUUUUUCAUGUGGCUGAUCAUACUUCCAAAAAAAUUAUUAUUUUUGUAAAGGAAAAAAAUGUUUUGUCUUAACUGCAGUAAAAUAUUCUCUGAUAA